rnacentral:lncRNA from 1 species
UCUAAGAGUCAUGGAAGAAAUUCCCCAUUCUUCGAUCGGGAUUAAUUUUUUAAUAAUUAUCUUGGAGUAGCCGUGAACGCCCGGAGUAGAUUCUCCUAAAGGGCUGUGCUCGAAUGUCGCACUGGCAGUAUUGACAAGAAUUUGUUCGUAAUAGGUUCUGGUCUUAUAAGAUUCUCCUGUAAAAUAAACAUUUGCUGUUAAGUAGUCUUUCAAUAUCCUCCAAGCUUCGUCG